rnacentral:lncRNA from 1 species
UGUAUUUUGGUGCUGAUUUCUUCUUUAUCCUCUUCAAGAGAGACCUCACUGCAAUCCAUCAGAAUGGCCUUUGCCUGUUGAUUGCAACCAAACAAAAUGUAGCAGAGUACUACAGAACCGUGGGGUCUGAGUGAGAUGUGCUGGAAGAGUUCCCUAAUGCUGACUGUCUGCAUUCCUGGAGGUUGGAUGGCCAUCAUCCUAUGUUCCUUAUACUUACCUGUUGGAUAACCCCAGGAUUCCUGGACUUCUGACCAGCAGUGGAGACAGUGCUGCACCCUCUAGGCAUUCUGAAAAUGUAUUCAUGUUUGUUAUAUGGUUGGGGGCACUACUUGGGUGGAGGCAGAGGGGAGACAGACUUCCUGCUACAGGUGGGACAGUCUUAUACAAUGAAGAUUUGUCCUGCAUUCCAUAUGUGUUUGUAUGCCCCCCAGAUGUUCAUGUAGGUAGAAACCUCUUUAUAUUGGUCCAAACCUAGAACCUAAUUCCAUUUUGCACAAAAUACUUUUUGCACAAUUUUGAUAUGCACUGAAUUUUUCAUGAAUGCAACCAUCAUAUAAAUAGAAUACUACAUUUUGUCUACAACAGAGUUGUUCACCAUUUAAGAAAGCCACAAUACCAACAGCAAAAUGUUCAUGGUAUUUGAGUUGCUGAAACAACACAUCUUUAUUCCUCUGCCUUCAAAGAUGAAUAGUGAUUCUACCUAUCUGUAUGAAUAUAUAGUACUUAUUUAGUCUUGUUUCA